UACGUAGGGUGCAAGCGUUGUCCGGAAUUAUUGGGCGUAAAGAGCUUGUAGGCGGUUUGUCGCGUCUGCUGUGAAAUUUCGGGGCUCAACCCCGAACUUGCAGUGGGUACGGGCAGACUAGAGUGUGGUAGGGGAGACUGGAAUUCCUGGUGUAGCGGUGAAAUGCGCAGAUAUCAGGAGGAACACCGGUGGCGAAGGCGGUUCUCUGGGAAUGUCCUGACGCUGAGGAGCGAAAGCUAGGGGAGCGAACAGG
rnacentral:rRNA from 1 species